ACUUUUAUUGUGACUCAAUCCACACCACUCCCUCCAUUAAUUAACCCCCGAAUCCGAUGCCGGAAUUUCCCUUUUCCCCCUCCCCGCCCGCUCCGUGCCCCGCCCGGGCCAACUCGGCCCGCACCAUUCCCAGGAUAUCCCCGCUGAGCCGGGAGAGGAUCCCGAGCUCGGCUCGGCGGCGCCCGCCGCUUUGGGGCUGUUUUUGGGAUUUUUUUGGGAUUUUUGGGGUUUUUUUGGGUUUUUUGGGUGUUUUGGGGUUUUUUUGGGGGGGGGGUUUGGUGUUUUUGUUGGGGUAUUUUGGGGUUUUUUUUGGAGGGGUUUCUUAGGUGGUUUUUGUGGCAUUUUUGUGGCGUUUUCUGGGAUUUUUCUGAUGGUUUUUUUGGCAGGUUUUUUGGGGUUUUUUGGGCUUUUUCUGGGGGUUUUGGGGUUUUUCUGGGGUUUUUUUUUGGGUUUUUUAGCCGUUUUUUGAGCGGUUUUUGCAGAGUUUUUGCGGCAUUUCCUGGGAGUUUUUCGAUGGUUUUUUGGGGGUUUGUUUUGGGCUUUUUUCAGGGUUUUUUGGGUGGAUUUUUGAGGUUUUUUGGGUGUUGUCAAGGGUUUUUGGGGUUUUUUUGGGUGGUUUCUGUGGCAUUUUUGUGGCCUUUUCUGGGGGUUUUCUGAUGGUAUUUUGGGGUUUUUUUGGAGGCGGGGUUUGGCUUUUUUGCGGUUUUUUGGGUGGUUCUUUGGGUGUUUUCAAGGGUUUUUGGCGGUGUUUUGUGGUUUUUUGGGGUGGUUUCUUUGAUGGUUUUCGUGGCGUUUUCUGGGUAUUCCCCAAUGUUUUUUUUGAGUUUUUUUCCAGGUUUCCCCAUUUUUUCUCUGCUUUCCACACACUUUUA
rnacentral:lncRNA from 1 species